rnacentral:sRNA from 1 species
UGAGCGGAGGGGGAAAUCCACACAUACGCCGACACAUAAACCGGGUGCCCGUACGGGUUGGUUUAUGGGGUGUAUGGAGGUCAAAC